AGGUGGAGAGAUCCAUGGAGGUGCUCGGUCACAGAGGCAAAAGGACAAACAGGAAGCAUGGCAUGCACCAAGCACACCCAGAGCUGCGCCCGUGCCAGGAGAAGACUUCAAGCACAGGCGGGGCUGAUGGCAACAGUUCCCACCAGCUGUCCAGCUCCAGAAGAUGCAGAAAGGAAAUUCAGUCUUAGACAUUCAGUUGCAGAAGAAAGUUU